GGCUUUAAAGAUCCGGCAGUGCCGGGUGAACGGGUAGAAGAGCGUAGGCCUCUGAAAAGUUAGCUGCAACAUAUAAAGGCUUCCUCGGAUCAGAAGGAGAUUGGCCCUCAAGUGCAAAGGCAUAAAAAAGUUUGAUUGCAGGACCCACUUGUCAAGUAGGGAUGAAAGUUGGCCUUAAAGAUCUGAUAGUGCCGGAUGAAAGGGUCAUUGCUCAAUAGAUAAAAGUUAC
rfam:Gossypium hirsutum cultivar TM-1 chromosome 19, whole genome shotgun sequence